rnacentral:rRNA from 1 species
ACUCCUACGGGAGGCAGCAGUGGGGAAUAUUGCACAAUGGGCGCAAGCCUGAUGCAGCCAUGCCGCGUGUGUGAAGAAGGCCUUCGGGUUGUAAAGCACUUUCAGUUGUGAGGAAGGUGGUGUCGUUAAUAGCGGCAUCAUUUGACGUUAGCAACAGAAGAAGCACCGGCUAACUCCGUGCCAGCAGCCGCGGUAAUACGGAGGGUGCGAGCGUUAAUCGGAAUUACUGGGCGUAAAGCGCAUGCAGGUGGUUGUUAAGUCAGAUGUGAAAGCCCGGGGCUCAACCUCGGAACUGCAUUUGAAACUGGCAGACUAGAGUACUGUAGAGGGGGUAGAAUUUCAGGUGUAGCGGUGAAAUGCGUAGAGAUCUGAAGGAAUACCGGUGGCGAAGGCGGCCCCUGGACAGAUACUGACACUCAGAUGCGAAAGCGUGGGAGCAAACAGGAUUAGAUACCCCUGGUAGCACAGAG